UAAAUGUCUUCUUUUGAGAGGUGUCUGUUCAUAUCCUUUACCCACUUUUUGAUGCAGUUGUUUGAUUUUUUCUUGUAAAUUUGUUUAAGAUCUUUGUAGAUUCUGGAUAUUAGCCCUUUGUCAGAUGAGUAGAUUGCAAAAAUUUUCUUCCAUUCUGUAGGUUGCCUUUUCACUCUGAUGGUAGUUUCUUUUGAUGUGCAGAAGCCCUUUAGUUUAAUUAGAUCCCAUUUGUCAAUUUUGGCUUUUGUUGCCAUUGCUUUUGGUGUUUUAGACGUGAAGUCCUUGCCCAUGCCUGUGUCCUGAAUGGUAUUGCCUAGGUUUUCUUCUACGGUUUUUAUGGUUGUAGGUCUAAUAUUUAAGUCUUUAAUCCAUCUUGAAUUAAUUUUUGUAUAAGGUGUAAGGAAGGGAUCCAGUUUCAGCUUUCUACAUAUGGCUAGCCAGUUUUCCCAGCACCAUUUAUUAAAUGGGGAAUCCUUUCCCCAUAUCUUGUUUUUGCAGGUUUGUCAAAGAUCAGAGAGCAUCCCUCUUACCUUAAUGAGUCUCAAGGGACAUGGAUGAAGCUGGAAACCAUCAUUCUCAGCAAACUAACACAGGAACAGAAAACCAAACAACGCAUGUUCUCACUCAUAAGUGGGAGUUGAACAAUGAGAACACGUGGA
rnacentral:lncRNA from 10 species